ACGCACGCUGGCGGCGUGCUUAACACAUGCAAGUCGAACGGAAAGGCCCUGCUUUUGUGGGGUGCUCGAGUGGCGAACGGGUGAGUAACACGUGAGUAACCUGCCCUUGACUUUGGGAUAACUUCAGGAAACUGGGGCUAAUACCGGAUAGGAGCUCCUGCUGCAUGGUGGGGGUUGGAAAGUUUCGGCGGUUGGGGAUGGACUCGCGGCUUAUCAGCUUGUUGGUGGGGUAGUGGCUUACCAAGGCUUUGACGGGUAGCCGGCCUGAGAGGGUGACCGGCCACAUUGGGACUGAGAUACGGCCCAGACUCCUACGGGAGGCAGCAGUGGGGAAUAUUGCACAAUGGGCGGAAGCCUGAUGCAGCAACGCCGCGUGCGGGAUGACGGCCUUCGGGCUGUAAACCGCUUUCGCCUGUGACGAAGCGUGAGUGACGGUAAUGGGUAAAGAAGCACCGGCUAACUACGUG
rnacentral:rRNA from 1 species